UAGCAGAGGGGGCAAGCGUUGUUCGGAAUUACUGGGCGUAAAGGGCGCGUAGGCGGCCUUCUAAGUCGAACGUGAAAUCCCCGGGCUCAACCCGGGAACUGCGUCCGAUACUGGAAGGCUUGAAUCCGGGAGAGGGAUGUGGAAUUCCAGGUGUAGCGGUGAAAUGCGUAGAUAUCUGGAGGAACACCGGGUGGCGAAGGCGACAUCCUGGACCGGUAUUGACGCUGAGGCGCGAAAGC
rnacentral:rRNA from 1 species